GCCUGGCGCGGUGGCGCGCCCCUGUAGUCCCAGCUGCUUGGGAGGCUGAGGUGGGAGGAUUGCUUGAGUCCAGGAGUUCUGGGCUGUAGAGGGCUAUGCCGAUUGGGUAUCCGCACUAAGUUCUGCAUCAAUAUGGUGACCUCCCAGGAGCUGGAGGCCACCAGGUUGCCUAAGUAGGGGUGGACCAGCCCAGGUCAGAAAGGAAGCCAAAAAGGGCAGCAGAAAAGGUUAUAUUUCUAAGAAAAUGAGUAAAACCAAAGAGAAAGGGGAAUAAAGGGAAAACAG
rnacentral:SRP_RNA from 1 species